UACGAAGGGGGCUAGCGUUGUUCGGAAUCACUGGGCGUAAAGCGCACGUAGGCGGAUGUGCCAGUCAGGGGUGAAAUCCCGGAGCUCAACUCCGGAACUGCCUCUGAUACAGCACGUCUUGAGUUCGAGAGAGGUGGGUGGAAUUCCUAGUGUAGAGGUGAAAUUCGUAGAUAUUCGCAAGAACACCAGUGGCGAAGGCGGCUCACUGGCCCGGUACUGACGCUGAGGUGCGAAAGCGUGGGGAGCAAACAGG
rnacentral:rRNA from 1 species